AGGCCUAGACAAUGGAUAUCUAUAUGUGUUAUCCAAAGAAGCAACCUUGAGAAUAACGACGUCACCAUUAUACAUGAUUCUCAAUCAUGUGGUUCAGUCUCUCAUUUGAGUUCGGAUCUUGAUGAGACCUUGAUUCCCAAGCUUGAGCUAUCGCCCCAUUAGUGUCAUACACUUUCUGGUUGGAAUCGAAUAGAGAGUUCAUAAAUGAACUUUCCCAUCCAAACAACAUUGUUGUAAACUUCUAUAUGGCAAUAUAUCUUGCAUUCAUAAUGGAACACACUAAAGUCAUUACUUUAAUGUUUCCAUCCAAAUAUCUCUUUAGUCAUAAUAAAGAGAUAUUCGUUUAUCUCUUCAUUCAUAAUAAUGAAGAAACGUCCAAUGAUGGAUUAGAUUCAUAAUCUAAUACAUUUACGCUUCCAUUUCGUUACUCUAAUUCUUCCUCAUUCUUUGAGGAAUCUAUCCUUUAGUAUUUCUUAAAUACUUAAGGACUCACUUGACAGUUGCCAUGGUUCUGAUCCUGGGCUUGCACUGAUAUCGUCUUGUAUCGUUUCUAGGUACAACUCAUAUCAAUGUUUUUCAUACAAUAUGAAAUACAUAAAUCACCUUUCUGCUUACGCAUAAAGGAUUCUAUUUACGCAUUAUUUCUUUGGGAGUCAAAGGGUACGUUCCCUUUGAGAAGGGCAACUUGCUAGUCUCACUAGAAUCGUCCUUCUAAUUGAAGUUUAUCAUCAUAUGAGAAACUUCCUAGCAUCCAUUGUCUAUUAUUAGGGAUUGAUAUAAUCCAAUUAUAUCAUGAAAUAUAUCAUUAUAGAUUUCCAUCCCAUGUACAUAGACUAUAUCUCCCAUAUACAUUUUAUCUUCAUAUAAUGUAUUAAAGUCAUAACUUUAACGAAGAAGUAUUCUUUUCAUUUCCAAAAUUAAUAUAUCAUAUAUAUUUAAAUUUUUUAGGAACAUGAUUAACUCCCACUAAUCUUUUGUAAAACUAGUAAACAAAAGAUUCAUUUACAUCUUUAUGAGAAAUCAAACGAUUUGAUCCUUUUUCUCAUAAAAUGCAAAUAGCUCCCACUAUCUUGCUAAGAUCCAUGAUGGAUGGAUCUCUACAACUUACAUGUCUUGUGAUUUAUAGUUUUAGACAUAUAUUAUCAAGACUAUCUUAAUAAUGGUUUCGGAAACCCAUAUUAUGUCAAAACAUUGAAUCACCAUUUAGUUGUAGCUAGCAAUCUUCGAAUUUAUUGAAACUAAGACUACGUCAAAAAUGGUUCCUUUAAAGUCAACCAUUCUAUUUGAUUGUAGUCACCUUAAGCUACCAAUUAGCUAUGAAGGUUUCAUUAUUUCGAUUCAAAUGGUACUUUACCAUUUCCUUGAGUAUAUAUCGUAUAUGCACUCAAUGUAGUCAUAAGGAUUUUCAUUC
rnacentral:lncRNA from 1 species